GUUGUACUCCCUCCAUCCGGAAAUACUUGUCAUCAAAAUGGAUAAAAGGGGAUGUAUCUAGACAUAUUUUAGUUUUAGAUACAUCUCUUUUUAUCCAUUUUGAUGACAAGUAUUUUCGGACGGAGGGAGUAUUAG
rnacentral:pre_miRNA from 1 species